GAUGAACGCUAGCGGCAGGCUUAAUACAUGCAAGUCGAGGGGCAGCGGGGGUAGCAAUACCUGCCGGCGACCGGCAAACGGGUGCGGAACACGUACACAACUUUCCUUUAAGUGGGGGAUAGCCCAGAGAAAUUUGGAUUAAUACCCCGUAAUAUUAUGAAGUGGCAUCAUUUUAUAAUUAUAGCUCCGGCGCUUGAAGAGUGGGUGUGCGGCUGAUUAGGUAGUUGGCGGGGUAACGGCCCACCAAGCCUACGAUCAGUAACUGGUGUGAGAGCACGACCAGUCAC
rnacentral:rRNA from 1 species